AGGAUUAGAUACCCUGGUAGUCCACGCCGUAAACGAUGAGUACUAGAUGUUAAAUUGUUUUUUAGUGUCACAGCUAACGCUUUAAGUACUCCGCCUGGGUAGUACGCUCGCAAGAGUAAAACUCAAAGGAAUUGACGGGGACCCGCACAAGCGGUGGAGCAUGUUGUUUAAUUCGAAGCAACCCGAAAAACCUUACCAAGAUUUGACAUACAGUGCGACGGUAUAAAAAUAUACUAGAGGUUAACACUGAUACAGGUGGUGCAUGGUUGUCGUCAGCUCGUGUCG
rnacentral:rRNA from 1 species